AAAGAUGCGGUAAUUGACAAAUCAAUUGGAAUGGGUGCAUUCUUAUGGUUUCUCUUGUUCAUCUUGACGUGUGUGGCUCUACGCGCAACUGACGUUUGCAGGUGACCCUCCAAUUCAGGGAAAUGAAAGAGAAUUCAUUCAAUUCAUAAUCUCUAUCGCGUGACACUCGGUGACAUGCACAAAGUGCAGCGUACUCUACUCUCCGACUGAAAUCCUCAAAAAUUUUCCAAAAGGGCGUACAAGACACAAGGAGUGCCCCGAUUCCAACAGGUUACCUGCAUCUCGAAGGCCUCCAUACAGCUCUGUGCAACAUGGUGCAGCUAUAUAUCAGCUAUUCAAACCAAGGAAAUUACAUUGUACGCUUAGAAGACACAGAUCAAACAGGACUCGUACCAGAUGCUGCCGGUAAACUCCAAGUGAAGCAAAGAGAAUCUUACUGCGUCAGUUUCAAGGUACAAGAAACAUGUAUGACUGAUGAUUCAACUCGGAGAGGAUAACUGGGUUCAUAAUAUCACCGAGUAUAUCUAUGGAGCAUAACUGUAGGUGCUACAGCAAGAUGAGAGGGAUGUAGGCAAGUUUUUUAUUUCGAAUGCAAGGAUGUUCUAAUCGAAUGAUCGUAGACCAACCCAGAGAAAGAGACUCUAACGAUGAGGUUGUACUGAAGGGAGAAUUGCCACCGCUCCUUCAACUUGCAGAUUCGAUUUGCAAAAUCCUGAGUGGAGGAUGGUAAAACGAUUUCUGUGCGCUAUUCAUCCGGUAUCAGCACUUUCUGACGAGCAUCUCCUUACCUAGAACAGGAAGUGUGCUUACACCUGCAAGUUUAAAAAUUGCAAAAUAAUUAUCAUACACAUGCAUAGCGUCGAAUAGUUGAUGUAUGCGAAUAAGUCUUCAUGUAAUGUAUUCAUAAGUUCUAUUCAUUUGAAUUACUGGGGCAAUAUUGUAUCAUUAAAAUGAACAUUGUACAUCUUGUGAAAGAUAUUGCAAAGUUUUUUAUAAUUCUUUAAAUAAUGUAUGUAUGCUGAAUGUAUUCCUUGCAUAACUCAUGAAUAAAUGAUAGGCUAUUUUCUA